rnacentral:misc_RNA from 1 species
UCUAUAUCAAGUAAAUAAUCUCAUUUGUCUAAAAUUUGCAAAGCAUGUAAUAAGGAAAAUAGAGGUUUUAUAUCAUAGGUCAUUGCAUGACAGUUAAAGCAACCCACUAGAUACAUGAAAUGGUUGAUCCCAAAAUUCUUUGCUUAAACAUAAAACAAGUCCCCAACGGACAACUUUUACCUUCCAUGUCAAACCUUAGGAGUCAGCAACACAACCAUGCCAAACCUUUGGCUCAACAAUUUUACAUCCCGAUAAAUGUGUCCAGUGUAUCAAGAACCCUAUAAUUCCAAUGCAUCCAGGCAGCCAUGACAACAAUCAUUAAACAUUACUGGACUCUAUAUCCUGAAUUCACUUUACUCUCCCAACAGAUUGAAUUGCAGAAGUCCAUUCCCUUCUUUUUGCAUUGGCUAAGGCAAAUCAUGAAUUCCAUAAAUAGUAAUGACUUCAAAAGUGAAGGGAAGGAUUUUGAGUUCAAACUCUAUCAUUGUAUCUAAAAGGGAGAAAAUCUCUCUAUGAUGAAAAUCAUGACCUGAACAAAUGGGAUAUCCGAUUUUUCUAUAUACAGCAAGUUUUCCUAUUAUGUAAAGAACUCUCCAGCAAAUUCUAAUAAGUUGUGACACCACAUAUCCAUGAAUCAAAAGUGAAUUAUACAAUGGUUUCAACGUGAUCAACUAGAGUAUUAUCUCUCUCUUGUUUGGAAGACAAUACAAACCAGCUGUCAAACCUCAGUCUGCCUGCAUGGGCGGUUAAAAUAUCUUAGUUUUGACUGCAUUGGCUCAUCAAUACCAUUGGUUUUAAUAAAGUGUUCUUUAUGCGCCCAAAUAGUGGACUAUACAAAGUUCAAAGUUCAUACAAAUUUG